UAACGCAUUGUUGCUGCCUAUAGAAUUA
rnacentral:piRNA from 1 species